rnacentral:lncRNA from 1 species
GGAGUUUUUGGUAUAGGUAAAAUAAAUAUUGUCUUGUAGUAUAUUUGGUAUAGGUAAAAUAAAUAUUGUCUAGUAGUAUAUUUGGUCUAGGUAAAAUAAAUAUUGUCUAGUAGUAUAUUCUUCUCCUUCUUUGAAACCUUCUUCUCUGAUAGUGGGAGUAGAUUGACUGAUGAUAUCUGAAUAUUUCUGAUAUUAGGUAUAGUUGUUUUCUAUAUUUAUCUAAACAGAUUCUGUUAUUUUGUUCUAGGUAGAUAAAAUGUACUGCUAGAUCUAUUAUAGAAUAGAAUCCACUAUCUAUGUCUAUUAUAAAUUCUUCUAAAUUUUGAGUAAGGCUUCUAGCAAAACUUUCUGGAUGGGUGUAGUUGUUGCGGUUAUUGGACAUUAAUAGUAAAAAUUCUUUGUAGUUAAAUCUUAUAUUUGUGAAAAUCCUACUCGGUACUCUCUCUCUUUUAUUCUAUAGACUUGUAAAGUUAACAUAUUAGCUAAAUUAUGAACUGAUAUUACCCCGUAACUCUUUUUUUUUUACUCUGUUCAUC